UACGUAGGGUGCAAGCGUUGUCCGGAAUUACUGGGCGUAAAGGGCUCGUAGGCGGCCAACUAAGUCGGAUGUGAAAUCCCCAGGCUUAACUUGGGAACUGCAUCCGAUACUGGAUGGCUUGAAUCCGGGAGAGGGAUGCGGAAUUCCAGGUGUAGCGGUGAAAUGCGUAGAUAUCUGGAGGAACACCGGUGGCGAAGGCGGCAUCCUGGACCGGCAUUGACGCUGAUGAGCGAAAGCCAGGGGAGCAAACGGG
rnacentral:rRNA from 1 species